GAUUUUCAGAGUCAGGCACGUUAUUCUGGAAAGGGAGGAACUUCUUUGCAAACUGAUGUGCUCUUGAAGUGCCUCCUGCACUCUGUAUUAGGCUGAACCAGGUCUGCAUUUUGUGACCAAUGUCACCUUCCCCUGCAGAAGCUGACACUGCCCCUCCAGCUCUGGUGCUGUACAUCGUUAUCCUGAACACCACUCAGGACAGAGUUCCUUGACAGGUUAAUGGGGUACAUGGACAGGAGACUUCUGCUCUAUCCCCUGCAGCCCUGACGACUGGAGGUGUUGCCUGGCUCAGCUCCUAGAGGAAGGAAUAACUUGCACUUCUCUCCAGUGAUUUCCUGAUGCUCACUGGUGGAUUGCAGACGUGAUUCACUCCAGCAGGUACUGCUGAGUGCUCCCAGACAUGAGAAGACAGGAGCUGGCUGUAUGCACUGCUGAUCAGAACACUUGCCAUAGGAAUGCAGCAAAGCUUGCCUGCAAGAGAACUGAUUGUUGGCGUGGAAGAAAAGCCCUAAAAUUCUGACAUGCAGUCGAGUUCCUGAAUACAGGCAAGUCUACAAUUGAAACUGAGAUCUGUUUAUCUGGGGAGAUAAAUGCUUCCAAAAUACCCUUUUCUGGAGAGGCCUGACAGGUACAAAAUCAGGGAAAGGAAUGCUCUGGUAUGAGGACAGAGUUCUGCUCAGGCAGUAACUGAUGUUGGACAGCUGUAGGAACUGACCCACUGGGCUCUGUGCUUUGCACCCCAUAACUCCAUACCCAGCUUCGUUUGAUACCAGGCUCGGGCUUCCCAGAGCCAGGCAUCAGCUUUUCCCUCCAAAUGCAGCCAAAGCAGCUGCUGCACUUUGCAGAGAUCCUGCAGUGCUGAGCUGCUCUUCCUUCUGCCUGCUGAGAUCUGCCCAGCUCAGGCAGCUCCUCGGGGGAACAGCCAGUGGGUCAGGCCUUGUUGGGGUUACACACUGUGGAGCUGAGCACAGAGAGGAGAAACAGCACCACCAAAGUGACUGAAAAGUGCUGAAAGGCCUCACAGUAGACAGCCUACACAAUGAAAUGAUCUCCAGUUAGCCCAUGGGCAUCAGUGAGGCCAAUCCUCUGCCCCCUGGGCCAGGCAGGGUGGUUUUAAUGGUAGGCAUAGAUUUAUUGGUUUUUUCUCCUCAUGACCCAGCAUAUUCUGCCAGGGCAAUGCAGACUCCAGAGAAGGAACACAAUUUAUGUGUACAAUUAAACAACAGAGUUUCAGUGCUAUCAGCUGUUUGACGAACUUUAAUAUACAUUUGCUAUAAAACAGGCAGCAAUUACCAGAAUGUGAUACCCAAAUAAAAAUCCAUGAUCCAUUUGCA